rnacentral:lncRNA from 1 species
GUCAAUGUGGAGGCUAUAUACAGGGUGUUACGGUACAGAGUCAAUGUGGAGGCUAUAUACAGGGGGUACCGGUACAGAGUCAAUGUGGAGGCUAUAUACAGGGGGUACCAGUACAGAGUCAAUGUGGAGGCUAUAUACAGGGGGUACCAGUACAGAGUCAAUGUGGAGGCUAUAUACAGGGGGAACCGGUACAGAGUCAAUGUGGAGGCUAUAUACAGGGGGUACCGGUACAGAGUCAAUGUGGAGGCUAUAUACAGGGGGUACUGGUACAGAGUCAAUGUGGAAGCUAUAUACAGGGUGUUACGGUACAGAGUCAAUGUGGAGGCUAUAUACAGGGGGUACCAGUACAGAGUCAAUGUGGAGGCUAUAUACAGGGGGAACCAGUACAGAGUCAAUGUGGAGGCUAUAUACAGGGGGUACCGGUACAGAGUCAAUGUGGAGGCUAUAUACAGGGGGUACUGGUACAGAGUCAAUGUGGAGGCUAUAUACAGGGUGUUAUGGUACAGAGUCAAUGUGGAGGCUAUAUACAGGGGGUACCAGUACAGAGUCAAUGUGGAGGCUAUAUACAGGGGGAACCGGUACAGAGUCAAUGUGGAGGCUAUAUACAGGGGGUACCGGUACAGAGUCAAUGUG